rnacentral:misc_RNA from 1 species
AAGUCGUAACAAGGUUUCCGUAGGUGAACCUGCGGAAGGAUCAUUACUGAAUUUACAAGCUGAGGUUGUAGCUGGCUCUAUUCGAGCAUGUGCACGCCUUGGUUAUCCAAAUUCUUACACCUCUGUGCACUAUUCAUGGAACGGAUGCCGCUGUCGGGUUUCUUGUAAACCCGGUGGUUAAUUCCGGUUCAUGUCAUUUACAUUUAUACGCUUCAGUUUAAGAAUGUUAUACCGCGCAUGACGCAAUAUAUAUACAACUUUCAGCAACGGAUCUCUUGGCUCUC